rnacentral:tRNA from 1 species
UUAUAUCAUGGUGUAGUGGUUAGCACAUUCGCUUGGCAUGCGAUGUGAUGCGAGUUCAAGCCUCGUAUAAG